UGCCAGCAGCCGCGGUAAUACGAGGGGGGCAAGCGUUGUUCGGAUUUAUUGGGCGUAAAGGGUGCGUAGGCGGUUUGAUAAGUCUGGUGUGAAAUCUUUGGGCUCAACCCAAAGUCUGCACUAGAAACUGUCGGGCUUGAGUAUGGGAGAGGUGAGUGGAAUUUCCGGUGUAGCGGUGAAAUGCGUAGAUAUCGGAAGGAACACCUGUGGCGAAAGCGGCUCACUGGACCAUUACUGACGCUGAGGCACGAAAGCUAGGGGAGCAAACAGGAUUAGAUACCCUGGUAGUCCUAGCCCUAAACGAUGAUUGCUUGAUGUGGCAGGUACCCAAUCCUGCCGUGUCGAAGCUAACGCGAUAAGCAAUCCGCCUGGGGAGUACGGUCGCAAGGCUAAACUCAAAGAAUGACGG
rnacentral:rRNA from 1 species